ncrna:unclassified sequences DTF3800-VIII RNA
UGCGCCCUGCGCAAGCCGAAGCCCUGCGUACCUACGCGGGGUAUUUUUGUAGGCUGCGCCGGGGCGCA